rnacentral:rRNA from 1 species
UACAGAGGGUGCAAGCGUUAAUCGGAAUUACUGGGCGUAAAGCGUGCGUAGACGGUUAUGUAAGUCGGGUGUGAAAGCCCCGGGCUCAACCUGGGAAUGCCAUUCGAGACUGCGUAGCUAGGGUGCGGAAGAGGGAAGCGGAAUUUCCGGUGUAGCGGUGAAAUGCGUAGAUAUCGGAAGGAACACCAGUGGCGAAGGCGGCGAUCUGGGAAGAUACUGACGCUGAGGUGCGAAAGCGUGGGGAGCAAACAGG